GGUUUUGAAUAGGGAGGGGUUUAGAGACAAUCAUACAGGUACAGAAAGGAACGUUCCUAGAAAAAAAAAAUUGGAUGCUGCUGUCCUGAUCUAUAUGCUCAGUUCUUCUAAAUAUGUAAUUUUUUGGUCAAAUUUCAAAUGGUUUACUUUGUCAUAUUUUCAAUUACAAAAUUUAUGUACCAAGAAUUUGGGUUCUUGUUUCUUUCUUCGUUUUCCGUUCUGAUUUUGGGUCUUUUUAAUGCAGCAACUCUAAUACAACUCCCCUGUGUUCCACUCCUUGGCAAUACCGAAUAUUUCCUGUACAAGAUAUUUAAGUUUAUGUAUUUUGAUUAUCUUUGCAUCCUAGCUUUGAAAAGUUAUGAGGCCGCAUAGAACUCUAGCUUUUGAUUAAUACUUUAUUAUUAUUUGGUAAGAUUGUUUAUUUGUGAGUUUAAUGGUAUUUCUCUUUUUUUUUCUUUGUUUUUUUUUUUAAGUUCCGGCUCGAAAACAAAGAAUUUGGUUUUGCUGUUUAUGUAGUUUGCUUGAAGUUUUGAUGGUGUUGAGGUUAUGUAUGUGCUACUUCUUCUGCAUUCAAGACUUCAAACAAUUCUAUAUUAUUCAUUUAGUUGGGAAUCUUUGGGGACUUCUGUUUUAAUUUAUUUUUUUGUAACAAUGAAAAAAAUAUUUGGCCAAAAUUGUUUGUAUUAGUUGAUUCCAGAUUUUGUAGAGGUGCUUUGCUACCUUUUCUAUGUGUAUGUGGGUUUAGUCUUCUAGGUAAACAAUUAAUGUACAAAAACAUACUGUGCAUAAAGACUUUUCCUUUAUAGAGACGAGUAUUUUUGUGAAAACUGUGAUCAAUGCAGAUGCACGUGGAUUAUACUUAAAAGAAUGAAUUUUCGUUUCUGAUUUUGAAUUAGUAAAAUCGGUAUUUUGAUACAAAUGACAUUAAUUACAUGAAGAGGUUCAUCAAACAGAUCUGGUGGAUUCAGGGUUGUUGGGUUUUGCUGUGAGGAAGAGAAUGGAAUAUUCGUUAAUGGUUUUUUGGGUGAGACAAGAGAAAAGAAAUAUGGAUGUGGCCGGAUU